GUAAGCUAAAAGAGAACAGCCACGACAGAGGAUACAGUGAAGAUUCAAAAAACGGUGGUGAAUAUUGAAAAGGCGUUGGAGGACACAUAAUAGAAUGCAAAGUCCACAAGGAGAGGGGCUUUGUGUCUUGUUUCACACUGUGUCCCCAGGCUUAGAAUAUUCUGGCAUCAGAAGGCACUCAGUAAACAUAGAGAGGAAGAAAGGAAGAAGAUGAAAUCAGGAGUACAGAUUAAAGUGUUAUCUUUGGAAGACAGGCAAGACAUCCUUUGGGACAGAAGGGAAGGAGAGAAAGCUGGGGAACAUGCAGAUAAUACAAGAGACUGAAUCCAGACAACUUUGGACAUUCCUUCAUUUGAAGAAUUUUUACUGAACAAUUACAGACCAUUGAUUGAUACAGU
rnacentral:lncRNA from 1 species